rnacentral:antisense_RNA from 1 species
CUUUGGGAGGCCGAGGUGGGCAGAUCACCUAAGGCCAGGAGUUCGAGACCAGCCUGGCCAACGUGGCAAAACCCCGUCUCUACUAAAAAUACAAAAAUUAGCCGGGCAUGGUGGUGUGUGCCUGGAAUCCCAGCUACCCAGGAGGCUUAGGCAGGAGAAAUGCUGGAACCCGGGAGGCAGAGGCUGCAGUGAGCUGAGAUCAUGCCACUACUGCACUCCAGCCUGGGUGACAGAGCAAGACUCCCUCUAAAAAAAGAAAAAAAGAAAAGAAAAGAAAAGAAAAUGAUAUAUCCAUGAUGAAUUAAGAUGGAGUGGAACCCACUGAUGGUAUGCAGCUGAUAAGACGCUAUAAAGAAAUGAUAUCCGGACACAUGGUGAGACUUUCUCCCCUCUGUAAAUCUCAAUUCUUGUGAUUCUUUCAAAGGGAAAGCCACAGAAGGUACCAGUUAUCCACUCACCUACUUAGGUGUCUCCACUAGAAUUCUCAGCACGUUUUUGCAGAACCUGGGCAACAAGAGCGAAACCCCAUCUCAAAACAACAACAACAACAACAACAGGACAACAGAGAUGGACGACGGAUCGGGAAAGCCAACCAGACAGUGUGAGGCCAGGACAGAAAGAGGCACAGGGAGCUCUGCUCAGUUUCGCUACAGGGGAUCUCUCAGGCUCACAAUGGGCCAGUCCUCUAUGGAAGUUCUGGCCUCAUCAUGAUCCUUCUUUCAUCUCACUCCCCAUGCCCUUCCUCUGUCCCUCCUCCCACUGCCAUUUAUUUAUUUAAGUGAAAAAGUACCAAUCACCCCCAUAUGCAUAAAAUACUCAUCCAUGUACCCAUUUCUUAAAAUUGAUCAUUGUUAACAUUUGGUAUAAUUUGCUUUAUUUAUUUUUAAUGAAAGAAAUACAACUUUACAGAAAAUGCUUUAUUUUUCUCUUUGUUCCCUCCCCAUCCUAUCUUUUUCUCCUAAAAAACUCUGUUAUCAGAAAUAUUAGUGUGUAUUCCCAGUUUUGAUUUUUUAUUUUAUUACACACGCACUCCCACACAUAGCUGUGGCAAUGAACUUCACAUAGUAUGGUUCUGUAUUUUCUCUUUGUUUUUCAAACUUACGUAAGUAUUUUACUGUUUCUCAUGGAAAAACUCACUUUUCCCAUCCAACGUUACGUUUUCUUAAGAUCUCUCUAUGUUGAUAUAAAGGAAUCUAGUUCAUUCUUUUUAAUGAAAAUAAAGUAUAUUUUAUGAAUGUAACUCAUGCUAACCAUGGCAAUCAAAGCUCCAACAAGCAUGCAUUUAGU